UGAAAAAGAAGAAAAAGGAGACACAGGGCACGCAGGCCUACUGUAAGAAGGGGAAGGGAGUUAACAUCGGUCAACAAAACUCUGAGGAGGAGGAGGUAGAAUAUCUAGAAGAAGAUAUGGUGCCGAUUGCCCCACCUCCGUAUGUGGGGGGGAGCCAAGGUUCCGGGAGAUCUUUUCAUGCACAAGUUUGGAGGACAGUUAAAACAGAUAUGGGACUUGCAUACCCUGUAUUUCAGGACAAUAACAGGGGAAGAUAUCAUGAGCCUUUAGACUUUAAGCUAAUUAAAACCUUGGCAGAAUCUGUCCGCACUUAUGGCAUAGAUGCCGCUUUCACUCUCACUCAGGUGGAGGGACUUACUAGAUUUUGCAUGACUCCCUCAGAUUGGGCUAGUCUAGUCCGCGCUUGUGUUUCCCCAGGGAAAUAUUAGGAGUCCAAAGUUGGCUGUUUAAUGUUUCUGGCAGUACCCAAGACUCGGAGUGAGAUUUUAUGAUUCCAGAAAUGCCUCCCGCAUCAUCGGGGAAUAUUUAUCCGGAACCUGGUCCAUGGAAGCAGAAAACUUGAUCCAGUCUCAACUAACUCAGAUUGCUGUUUUGAAUAGUACCCGUGUCGAACCAGUGACUUUGGGUCAAUUCACCGAUUGGAUAUCUUCUGCUUUUUCCUUCUUCAAAGAGUGGGUGGGAGUAGGCAUUUUUGGUGCAAUGUGUUGCUUCAGUGUUGUACUCUGUUUGUGGCUUCUCUGUCGCCUUAAGACUCGCCAUGCACAAGAAAAGGCUAUGAUCAUACAAGCUCUUGCAGCUUUAGAAAAUGGCAACUCGCCUCAAGUCUGGCUUGCGCAUCUUAAGCAGUAAACCUUUGUCAUGGUCGUUACACCCCAAGUUAUUAUAACAUUGCACUGGGAUCGACAUGACUUUCCUUGUUAUUCUCUUAGUGUUGGAAAGCCCUUGCACUCUGCCGGUCUUACUGCCAUUGCACGCAGAUGGGUUUCCACACUAGUGCUUUUCUAUCGCCUUGAAGUUCGUGCCUUUCUUUCAGGGUGCUGUCAACUUGUUUGUCGUUAUAAACAGCCACAGUUCAGCCUCAGCUAUCCCCCUUCGUCCACCAUCGUCACGAUACAGGAUGCGAGGCAAGGCACUGCACUUGAGUGAUCCUUGAAGAGGACCUCAAGGAGAGCAUGUCCUAUUGCAUGCGGGUUAGACGCGUUCACGCCCCGCCCCACGAAAAAAGGCGUCGGCUGAUAUGGCCUCAGAUCUGGGGAAGGGCCCUCCUUGGGACUGAGCCAUACUAUGCAGCCACUUCUGCACAGUGGGAUAGGACCUCUACUCUCGCCUGUAUUGUUUUAAUAAAAUAGAAAAGGGGGAACUGUGGUGAGCCGCUUCUGCCGUUUCUGCAGAUUAUGGUCGCCAUUACAAGAUGACGCUGGCUCCGCUGUGGUCUGUGACAAACAACUCCUUAUCUGGGAAAGUUGGCACAUGAUUUUUCACCACCCUGUGAGAAAGCUCCACGCGGCAGCUUUGCAUUGGGGCUUGGGAUGCUUUAUUAAGGCUGGGAGGGGCAUCAGAGAGAAAGAAGAAGAAAUAUCCAGGGACCUGAAUAAACUGUUGAAAGAA